CAAUAAACACAGCUGUGCACAUAUGACUGUGAUGUGUUGACUUGGAGUCCUUCAGAGUAGUAUAGCUUGGUCAUGUAGUAGCUUUAUUUUCAGGUUUUGUUUUGUUUUGUUUCAUUUCCAUAGGGGUUGCCUAGUUUGCUCUCCUACUAGUGGAGUGAAUAAUGGUUCCUUUCUCCCAUAUCCUCACUGGCAUUUGCCACUUGGUUUCCUGAUGAUAGCCAUUCUGCCUGAGCAACUCCCAAAUUGCCCACAAGAAAGCGACUUGCCGUGUAAAAGGAAAUCACUACAUGGAAUGAUGUAGUUUCAGUGUGUACUCUAGGAAGGAUGAAUCUUCAUUGGUCUGAAAGCCUCCUGUAGCACCUUACACACUGAAUGAAUACAAGAGCAGUCCAUCCCUCAGUUGAAGACUGGGCCAAGAAAAUUUGGCCCUGGUGGGGAUUUAUAUUAACUACUCAUCUUACUGUCUUUGACAGAAUAUCCACAAAAGCAGCUUCAGAGGCAAAUUGGAAGAGGGUGUUUCAAGGUUCAGAGUCAUUCCAGAACCUGGCUGUAUGGAGAUAUCUCUGUUCUUCUGCAUCAUUGGUGGUUUCUCUGUGGCUGGAAAUGAGCUCUGGUCUUCCUGAGGCUGAGUGAUCUGACAGAAGCAAGCUCCCAGCAACAGAAAUGAAGCGAGGACAGGUUUCAAGCCCGUGUUUAUUGCGCAUUGCCAUUACCCAAGAGGAGUGACAAAGAAGUGUAGGGAGACACCGUAACCACGACUCUUAAGGGUGUGUACUGACUUCAAUCAAGUUGAGGAUUUCAACCUAAAUCUUCAAUCAAGGAAAUCCCAUCUAACAUGGACUGGAUAUAACCGGUAUCUUGAAUCUACAAGUGUUUCCCUUCAAAGAAGAGCUUGAGUAUGUGUGUUCAGAAGUGACUACCAUGAGGGUGGAGAGCAACCACCUAUCCAGCAAAACCAAAGCCUUGGCCUAGACAGGAAUACAGAAGAGGGACCACAGCAACCUUCAUGGAGGGUGAGUGGUUAAACUAAUCCCAGGUAUGUUAAACAAAAGGGCUGGAAGGGGACAAGUCUCCCAACCAAGUGGAAUAACGAAGGCCAAGGCUCUAGGGAGCUGAAGCCCAGAGGGAG
rnacentral:lncRNA from 1 species